GUUAGGAAUCUUGCGCAAUGGGGGAAACCCUGACGCAGCGACGCCGCGUGCGGGAUGAAGGCCUUCGGGUUGUAAACCGCUUUCAGCAGGGACGAAAUUGACGGUACCUGCAGAAGAAGGCCCGGCCAACUACGUGCCAGCAGCCGCGGUAAUACGUAGGGGCCAAGCGUUGUCCGGAAUCAUUGGGCGUAAAGAGCUCGUAGGCGGUUCGGUAAGUCGGGUGUGAAAUCUCCACGCUCAACGUGGAGGGGCCACCCGAUACUGCCGUGACUAGAGUCCAGUAGGGGAGUGUGGAAUUCCCGGUGUAGCGGUGAAAUGCGCAGAGAUCGGGAGGAACACCAGCGGCGAAGGCGGCACUCUGGGCUGGAACUGACGCUGAGGAGCGAAAGCGUGGGGAGCGAACAGGAUUAGAUACCCUAGUAGUCC
rnacentral:rRNA from 1 species